GCAGACCCUCCCCUCUCCCCUCCAGCCUGGACACGCCCGCCUCCCCUUGACUCCCCCCAGCUCUGGGCCCCCACCUCCCCUCCCCUCCAGCACAGUCACCCCCAUUUCUCUCCUAUCCGCCAUCCUGGUUCCUCCCUUCCCCCCACCUCCCAACUCUGUGCCCCGCCAACGUUUCCUAAAUGCCCUCUAUUCAGAUCCCCCCUCCGCCUCCCCUCUCCUCUCCUCCAUUCCUGCGUCCCCCUUCCCCCGCCGCGCCGCCUGGGCUGUCCGUGGACUUCUCCCACUCUCUCACUCUCUCACUCACUCUCUCUCUCUCUCUCUCUCUCUCACUCUCUCUCUCUCUCUCCCCCUCAUUUAUUUGGAACCGUUGGAUAAGAAGUGCUCGGGCUCUCGCUCAGACUUAGGGAGCUGCCUCGAGGUGAUGAAUGACACCCCCUGGCACCAGCUACCCUUCUCAGACCCCAGUCCAGCCCGCUCCCGACGUCGACUACGAUUCCGCUACCUCGGCUGGCAGCGAGGUUGGGGUGAGCCCCAGCUGCAGGCGCGUCUGGGCUGCGCCGCUGCAAACGAGUUGCGCACCUUGGGCGGCUCCGCACCUGCACCCGCACCCGCGGGGCUCAGCCCCGAAGGCUGCAGCUUCGGGGGAGGCGCGGUCGCCGAGGUCCAGCUGGUGGGGCGAGAGACGUCGCCCCUCGGAGGAUGCUCUCGGAACUUGGGAGAGGAAGGAGGGAAGAGAAGAGGGGAAAGGGGCCGUCGAUGUUUUUGAUGUCUGUGCUUUAAUGGAGGCCACCAAUAUUGAGAAGACGGGGUUGGCCGAGGCAGCCCGCACGCUGCUGCUUGCGAGCGCUCGAGUCAAAGCUAGGGCCAACCGCGGCUUGUCCGGGUGCCCUAAGGGGGCGGACACUUGGUUUAGCACCGGGACACAGAAUAGCCACCGGGGUAGGAAGAUGCGUUCACUUUGCUUACCUGUUGGCAAGAGGGACAUACAAAAAUAACGUAACGUGACAAACUGUAACCAUACUUAGGGAGGCAGACGUCAAAGGCAAGUACAUCUGUAUUCAACUGGGUAAAGGAAGAGUUUUUCAGCCUGGCGUGGUGGCUCACACCUGUAAUCCCAGCACUUUGGGAGGCCAAGGUGAGUGAAUCUCCUGAGUUCAGGAGUUCAAGGCCAGCCUGGACAACAUGGUGAAACCGUCUCUACCCAAAAUACAAAAAAUUAGCCCAGCAUGGUGGUGUGUGCCUGAGGUCCCAGCUACUCGGGAAGCUGAAGUGGGAGGAUUGCUCAAGCCUGGGAGGUGGAGGUUGCAGUGAGUCGAGGUCGUGCCACUGCACUCCAACCUGGGUGACAGAGUGAGACUCCAUCUAAAAAAAAAAUAGUUUUUCUACUUCUCUCUCCAGUGCUGUACACAGUAGGUGCUCAAUAUUUCUUUGUUGAGUGAGUGAAGGGGCAAAUGAAGACUGUGGUGAGAGGUGGGCCCUGGGACCCUCUGCCAUGUAGAUUUGUUCUUCCUUCCUCUUAGAUGACCCCAUUCAUCGUGCCAUUGCAGCCUAGGCCCUACUUAAUCCUGGGAUGUGGUAAGAAGAGAACGCCAGGGUCGGGGAGGGAGAAGGGCAGUGGGAAGCUGGGAGAAAGAAAGGGCCACCCUGGCGCAAGGAAGGAAGAAGGACGGUUAUGGGCAAUUCCUGCAACUGCCCUCUAAUGAGAGCCUGCUGUGUCCCCAAUAUAAAGUGUGUCACACCACCUUGGACAGGUGGUCCUCAGCGUUAUUCCAUUGAACCCAUGUUUGCAUCUGAUUGAAAGGAUUAAGCAUUUAUAUGUUUCCAAAUUUUCAUAAGCCUGGAAAGAUGAACACCCUACUUGGUGAAAUCCAAUGGCGAGUCAUCCUAAAUUCUUAGUCACCAAAGAGAGAAUUUGGGGCACUGGGGAAACCCAGACGCUGACUACGCAAUGAGAACAUAAUGAAUAAUGAGGGCUGAAACAUUACAGGUAUGUGCCACAGGCUUCUAGAGAUGGCUUUCAAGCUUCCCUGUGACUUUGAACUUCUCAUUCUCACAAUGCUUUUGGACAGACUUUAUUUUUCAGAAUCAGAGAUAACGGGCAGAUGCUAAUGGGCUGAGCUUUGCUGUGAGCUCUGGGGUGGGGCCUAGAUGGGAUCCUCCUGUGGGUGUCAGCACUGGGUGUUACCACGUCAGCGUUCCCCUGCCUUAGAUGGAUUGUUUCUCUUUGACGUUGGGAUGGUUUCCUAACCCACGUCUGCAGUGAAUCAGCCCCUGAUAGAGGAAUGAUUCAGUGGACUCCUGUAGUCGGGUACCCAGGUUGAAGGAGACACAUUCAAAGACACUGGUAUCACUCAGGAUGUCUGAGGCUGCAACUCACAGGAGAUCCAGCUGAUAGUGACUUCAAACAUAACCAUGUGUGUUUAUCUCAUGCAGCAGGAAGUCUAGGGAUUUAUGGCUCCAGGGUUACACAGCUUCUCUGGAAUUCUGGUUCUAGAAAGGCAGUAUGUCACAACAGUGAGGAGUACAGCCUCUGCCAUGGGUCUCCCUGAGUUCAAAUCCCAGCUUUGGUGCUUCUUGUCUGUGAAACUUCCCACAAAUUACUGAACUUCGCUGAGCCUCGGCUCCCUCCUCUGUCAAUUGGAGAGAACAGUAGUUGUCCUUCCAGAGUUGCUGUUAGAAUUAAAUUAGUUAAUAUCUAUAAACUGCUUAAGGAGAGACUGGCAUGUAUUAAGCACUAUGAGUGUUAGUUCUUGUCAUCUUUAUUUAUUUUUAUCAUCCCCUCAUUGUCACAAGAUCGUUCCCAAAGCAGCAGGCUUUCACACCACACGACAGUAUGCAGGACAGGAAGGAAAGUGCUGGAGGGGACAAGGCAAGGGAUAAGAAUGACACAGGCCUCUCUUGGGCAUCUCUCUCCUUUAGCAGGGAGAAAACUCCUUCCCAGACCUCAUGCCUUUCUCAGAGCCUACAGGUCAGGACUGGGCCACACAGUGAUGUCUGAGGCAAUACCUGGCAAAGGAGAGUGAAAUCAUCAUGGUUUGGAGCCUCUGUGCUAUCUCCCGUGGUAGCUCCUAAUAACCAC
rnacentral:lncRNA from 1 species